rnacentral:rRNA from 1 species
AGGAGAUCUUACCUGCCCAGUGAUUUUAUUAAACGGCCGCGGUAUUCUGACCGUGCUAAGGUAGCGCAAUCACUUGUCUUUUAAAUAAAGACCCGUAUGAAUGGUUGGACGAGGGCUUUACUGUCUCCCCUCUCAAGUCAAUGAAAUUGAUCUGCCCGUGCAGAAGCGGACAUAAUAAUACAAGACGAGAAGACCCUUUGGAGCUUUAGACAACACCCAACUGUGUUAAAACUUUCCGUCAAAGAAAACUAAACUAAACAACAACUGGCCAAUGUCUUCGGUUGGGGCGACCGCGGGGAAAAACAAAACCCCCAUGUGGAGUGGGAUAUUUCCUAAAACCAAGAGGGACACCUCCAAGACACAGAAUUUCUGACCCAAAGAUCCGGCAACCGCCGAUUAACGAACUAAGUUACCCAAGGGAUAACAGCGCAAUCCCCUCCAAGAGUCCCUAUCGACAAGGGGGUUUACGACCUCGAUGUUGGAUCAGGACAUCCUAAUGGUGCAGCCGCUAUUAAGGGUUCGUUUGUUCAACGAUUAAAGUCCUACGUG